rnacentral:rRNA from 1 species
UACGUAGGGCGCAAGCGUUAUCCGGAAUUAUUGGGCGUAAAGAGCUCGUAGGCGGUUUGUCGCGUCUGCCGUGAAAGUCCGGGGCUCAACUCCGGAUCUGCGGUGGGUACGGGCAGACUAGAGUGAUGUAGGGGAGACUGGAAUUCCUGGUGUAGCGGUGAAAUGCGCAGAUAUCAGGAGGAACACCGAUGGCGAAGGCAGGUCUCUGGGCAUUAACUGACACUGAGGCGCGAAAGCGUGGGGAGCGAACAGGAUUAGAACCUACCGUAGUCAGACCAAGAUCCAGUCU